rnacentral:rRNA from 1 species
GAUGAACGCUAGCGGCAGGCUUAACACAUGCAAGUCGAGGGGUAGAGGAAGCUUGCUUCCUUGAGACCGGCGCACGGGUGCGUAACGCGUAUGCAAUCUACCUUAUACAGGGGGAUAGCCCAGAGAAAUUUGGAUUAAUACCCCAUAGUAUAAUUGAAUGGCAUCAUUUAAUUAUUAAAGUUCCAACGGUAUAAGAUGAGCAUGCGUCCAUUAGCUAGUUGGUGUGGUAACGGCACACCAAGGCGACGAUGGGUAGGGGUCCUGAGAGGGAGAUCCCCCACACUGGUACUGAGACACGGACCAGACUCCUACGGGAGGCAGCAGUGAGGAAUAUUGGUCAAUGGGCGCAAGCCUGAACCAGCCAUGCCGCGUGCAGGAUGACGGUCCUAUGGAUUGUAAACUGCUUUUGACAGGAAGAAACACUCCCCUCGUGAGGGAGCUUGACGGUACUGUAAGAAUAAGGAUCGGCUAACUCCGUGCCAGCAGCCGCGGUAAU